AUUGAACGCUGGCGGCAGGCCUAACACAUGCAAGUCGAGCGGAUGAAGGGAGCUUGCUCCUGGAUUCGGCGGCGGACGGGUGAGUAAUGCCUAGGAAUCUGCCUGGUAGUGGGGGAUAACGUCCGGAAACGGGCGCUAAUACCGCACACGUCCUGAGGGAGAAAGUGGGGGAUCUUCGGACCUCACGCUAUCAGAUGAGCCUAGGUCGGAUUAGCUAGUUGGUGGGGUAAAGGCCUACCAAGGCGACGAUCCGUAACUGGUCUGAGAGGAUGAUCAGUCACACUGGAACUGAGACACGGUCCAGACUCCUACGGGAGGCAGCAGUGGGGAAUAUUGGACAAUGGGCGAAAGCCUGAUCCAGCCAUGCCGCGUGUGUGAAGAAGGUCUUCGGAUUGUGAAGCACUUUAAGUUGGGAGGAAGGGCAGUAAGUUAAUACCUUGCUGUUUUGACGUUACCAACAGAAUAAGCACCGGCUAACUACGUG
rnacentral:rRNA from 1 species